GUUCAGAUUUCCAGGUUUGGCCAGGGACUCAUGGUCCCAAACGAGCAUCCUCAGAGGCAAAGGUCCAUCCCAGCCUGGCUUCAGAGGAGGGAGCAGGAGCCGGAGCUGCUCUCAGCAGACCUCGCGGCAGAAGGGCUCUGCAGUAACUUUAUGUGGAGUCGAACUUGACUUCACUUGUCAGCCGGCUCUGUGUGACUCACCGAAGGUGCUGAACAGACUAACGAGUGGGAGGAGGAAACAGGGGGAGAGGAAGAAAGGGAGACAGGCAGCCGAAUGAAAGCAGGAACACUGAUUUAUGAACAAAAAAAAAGAAAAGAAAAAGAAAAAAAAAAAAAAGAGGCUGUUUUUCAGAAAGUUACACUAGUCCUUUUCCUGCUCUAAUAUGAGUGGCAUACAAUCCAAGAUCUCCCAGGUUUGAGGAAAGAAAAAAAAAAAAAAAAAGUGAAUCAGAACUUUUAGCUAAAAUGAGAUAAUAACACUUUUAACCUGAUCGUUAUGAUGGAACUCCAGGGGUUUGAUUUAUUCAGCUGUCACUUACCGCACAUCCCAAGUGUAACAGGAGACAUGUUGGAAGUGCAACCUUUAUUUAGGGUUUGUUGGCAUGAUUUCAUUUUAUACUGGCCUUCUGGGAGUUAUUUUUCAUCUUUAGGCAGUUACCACUGCUAACAGGAAAAGGGAAAGCCUUUUUUUGUUAGCUCCUAGUGCAGCGUGGUUAUUAAGGAAGGUGGAAUUCGAGCCUGCUGGGGUGCGAAUCAGAGCGUCGUGGGAGAUGACUCCCAGCCCGCGAUGGGAAGGGGAUGCUGCCGCCGUGCCUUUUCGUUACAGCACCAGAAUUGUUGGAAGAAGUGACUACUUUGGACUCCCCUUGUUUGAAGAUGCUGCAAAAGAGCAGGUAGUCAAAUGGGGAGGAGAUUUCCCCCUCCCCACCCGAAUUGUGCUUCUCUCAGCUCCACUCGCGGAUGGAGAGUAUUUUUAUUAAGCCUGAAGAGGAGAAAGCCAUCCUAAUUAGCAACGCCUCGUUGCAUCGAGGGCUGUGGCUACCAACCUGCGGCGACGCAGUGGGAAGACAUGAUUGCAGUUUGAUUCAGCGGUGCCAGGCACUGAGCAAAGAUUACGCACUCAAAGACAGGCACCCUGUCUGGGAGCACAAGCGAGGAACGCGGUCCUGCCUGCACUGAGCGGGGCCACAGCGCUGCGUGAGCAGCGACAGCACGUCCUCGCUGCUGUGGUUCAACCAGGGGAGCCAGAAGUCUCAGCUCUGCUGUGUUAAAAAACGCAUGGUUUUGAAGGAGUUGCCCGCAAACCUCAGCUCUGGGACAUGCCAUGUGCCAAAACCACCCCAGCAGCUGCGUGCUGCAGCACAGUGGCUUGCCUCUUGCCCCACUGGAGCCUGGAAGGAUUUUAAAGGGAAAGGCUAAUUGCAACACAGGGUAGCUGCGUGCCUGAGCUGGCUAAAAUAUAAGUCCCAAUUUCUCAUCCCCCUUCUUGCCAACUUAUACCAGACGUGGAAAGUAGCUGUGGAGCUGCUGUGAUGGUGUCUGGUGGCACUGUUUUGGGGGUAUAGCUCUGCGGCGGUGGCCCUGGCCACUGCAUCCAGCUCAGUGCUGAAAAUGGGAGCCUUGCGCCAGGGCCAUGGGGAGGACACAUGGGGCUGGAGUCAUGUCAAGGCAUCCCACUUUCUACCAAAAUCAGAUAUUAAUUGAUUCUUUGCUGAAAAAGAGAAAAACAGCUCCAAUCCCAGAGCCAUCCCCAGGAGGAGCAGUCAGCACUGGGUGCUCCCAGGAGCCCACAUGGGUUGACACAGCCUCUUCAAACCUGCAGAGGCAUUUAAUACCUCUUGGGAGAUUUACCCUAUUUUUGUGCUAUGGUUUGUGUUUUUUGUUUUUUUUUUUUUUUUGGACAAUUUAGUCUUCUGGCUUUUAAGUCCAUUGUUGGUAUCCAGGCACAUAUCAGUAUGUACUCCAAGGUGGUCUCAUCAACUGGGAUUAAAAGGACCUUGUAAAUCCAGCAGGGGUAGCACUGCUGGUGUUUGAUGUGAUUUACUUUGAUAGGAUCUUCUCCCUGUUGAUGAGAAAGAUACACUUGGACUCUUUCAGCAGAGAGUAGUUUGGUUUUUCACCCUUUUUUUCAGCAGAGCAGUGCAAGGUGACAUUUUGGCACAUGGAGUGUGGUUAAGCCAAGCGAUGUGACAAAGAAAUAGAGGUAAAUGUGAUUUUAAAAAAAAAAAAUAAAUACUAAACGAGAAACAGUGUUAUUCUUUUGAAGAAUCUCUUUCUUAAUGUCUGUUAAAAAAAAACACAGUCACCGCUAGCUGAGCAACAGACCUUCACCCAGUGGCUUUGCUGAAAAAAAGGGCUGGUGCUUUGAUAGCAACAUCUUUCUAGCUUGUUGAAUCCUAUGUUGCAUGGAAACGGCAUAAAACAAAGGGCAGGAAUCAGAGAAGUUGGUAACUACACGAACUGAGAAUUUUACUUUCUUCCUUUACUCUGGGGCAAAAGUUUGUUUUAGAGCUGUCACAUGCCACUGACCCCAGGGGUGACCCAAGCACUCUGCCAUUGCCACCACUUUGCUCCCAGUCCAGGCUAGUAGCUAGAAACCUUUUUCUCCUGAAGGUAAAUAAAAUAUAUUUGAUCUAGAUGUCAAUCAAAUGGCAGAAGCUCCAGAAUAACAGCACAGAAGUCCAUUUUUUUUAAAAUAUGAACAGUAUUUUAAAGAAAUUUGAAACUCAUUGGGCAAAUACGUCCACCUUGAAUAUACAAAUGAAUAGUAAUGGUAGUCUGCGUACUCAAAUGUACAGCUGUUAUCAAUUUCAUUAGUCACUUCUUGGAUCUCAAAAACAAAAUCAGAGAUUUGCCAACGUUGUCAAAAUCCUGCAGUGCUUCCACAAGAAAUAAAUACUUUGGACGAAA